rnacentral:rRNA from 1 species
UACGUAGGGGGCAAGCGUUGCCCGGAAUCAUUGGGCGUAAAGAGCGCGUAGGUGGCUGCAUAAGUCCGCUGUGAAAGUCCAGGGCUCAACCCUGGAAUGCCGGUGGAAACUGUCGGGCUAGAGUCCGGAAGAGGCGAGUGGAAUUCCUGGUGUAGCGGUGAAAUGCGCAGAUAUCAGGAGGAACACCAAUGGCGAAGGCAGCUCGCUGGGACGGUACUGACGCUGAGACGCGAAAGCGUGGGGAGCAAACAGG